AGUGUUGCUUUUUUACUGGCGAGGAGAAGGCAGAUGCCGGGUGACUUGCGUAGCAUCUUCACCAGGAUAGAGACAGGCUGCCCUGGUGCCCCCCGGGGAGGGACUGCAGCAGUUUGCGGGGCUGGGGCGGGAGGUGAACGCCGGCUCCCUCCAGGCCCUUGGAGCGAGGCUGGCGGAAGCAGAAGGAGGGCGCCGCAGCCCCGCAGCCCAAGGUGCGGCUCCGACAGGAGGUGGUGAGCACCGCGGGGCCGCGGCGGGGCCAGCGUAUCGCGGUGCCCGUGCGCAAGCUCUUCGCCCGGGAGAAGCGGCCGUAUGGGCUGGGCAUGGUGGGACGGCUCACCAACCGCACCUACCGCAAGCGCAUCGAUAGCUUCGUCAAGCGCCAGAUCGAGGACAUGGACGACCACAGGCCCUUCUUCACCUACUGGCUUACCUUCGUGCACUCGCUCGUCACCAUUCUAGCCGUGUGCAUCUAUGGCAUCGCGCCCGUGGGCUUCUCGCAGCAUGAAACGGUGGACUCGGUGCUUCGGAACCGCGGGGUCUACGAGAACGUCAA
rnacentral:sRNA from 1 species